rnacentral:rRNA from 1 species
AUUGAACGCUGGCGGAAUGCUUUACACAUGCAAGUCGAACGAUGAACCUUAGCUUGCUAAGGGGAUUAGCGGCGAACGGGUGAGUAAUAUAUCGGAACGUACCUUGUAAUGGGGGAUAACUAGUCGAAAGAUUAGCUAAUACCGCAUACGCCCUGAGGGGGAAAGUAGGGGAUCUUCGGACCUUACGUUAUAAGAGCGGCCGAUAUCUGAUUAGCUAGUUGGUGGGGUAAUGGCCUACCAAGGCGACGAUCAGUAGCUGGUCUGAGAGGACGACCAGCCACACUGGAAAUGGGACACGGUCCAGACGCCUACGGGAGGCAGCAGUGGGGAAUUUUGGACAAUGGGCGCAAGCCUGAUCCAGCCAUUCCGCGUGAGUGAAGAAGGCCUUCGGGUUGUAAAGCUCUUUCGCAAGGGAAGAAAACUUACAUUCUAAUAAAGUGUGAGGCUGACGGUACCUUGAUAAGAAGCACCGGCUAACUACGUGCCAGCCGCCGCGGUAA